rnacentral:piRNA from 2 species
UACUACAGUCGAAUGGCCAACUAUCGGAAC